GUCGGCGUGCUUAACACAUGCAAGUCGAACGGAAAGGCCCUGCUUUUGUGGGGUGCUCGAGUGGCGAACGGGUGAGUAACACGUGAGUAACCUGCCCUUGACUUUGGGAUAACUUCAGGAAACUGGGGCAAUACCGGAUAGGAGCUCCUGCUGCAUGGUGGGGGUUGGAAAGUUUCGGCGGUUGGGGAUGGACUCGCGGCUUAUCAGCUUGUUGGUGGGGUAGUGGCUUACCAAGGCUUUGACGGGUAGCCGGCCUGAGAGGGUGACCGGCCACAUUGGGACUGAGAUACGGCCCAGACUCCUACGGGAGGCAGCAGUGGGGAAUAUUGCACAAUGGGCGGAAGCCUGAUGCAGCAACGCCGCGUGCGGGAUGACGGCCAUCGGGUUGUAAACCGCUUUCGCCUGUGACGAAGCGUGAGUGACGGUAAUGGGUAAAGAAGCACCGGCUAACUACGUGCCAGCAGCCGCGGUGAUACGUAGGGUGCGAGCGUUGUCCGAAUUUAUUGGGCGUAAAGGGCUCGUAGGUGGUUGAUCGCGUCGGAAGUGUAAUCUUGGGGCUUAACCCUGAGCGUGCUUUCGAUACGGGUUGACUUGAGGAAGGUAGGGGAGAAUGGAAUUCCUGGUGGAGCGGUGGAAUGCGCAGAUAUCAGGAGGAACACCAGUGGCGAAGGCGGUUCUCUGGGCCUUUCCUGACGCUGAGGAGCGAAAGCGUGGGGAGCGAACAGGCUUAGAUACCCUGGUAGUCCACGCUGUAAACGGUGGGUACUAGGUGUGGGGUCCAUUCCACGGGUUCCGUGCCGUAGCUAACGCUUUAAGUACCCCGCCUGGGGAGUACGGCCGCAAGGCUAAAACUCAAAGGAAUUGACGGGGCCCCGCACAAGCGGCGGAGCAUGCGGAUUAAUUCGAUGCAACGCGUAGAACCUUACCUGGGUUUGACAUGGAUCGGGAGUGCUCAGAGAUGGGUGUGCCUCUUUUGGGGUCGGUUCACAGGUGGUGCAUGGCUGUCGUCAGCUCGUGUCGUGAGAUGUUGGGUUAAGUCCCGCAACGAGCGCAACCCUUGUUCACUGUUGCCAGCACGUUAUGGUGGGGACUCAGUGGAGACCGCCGGGGUCAACUCGGAGGAAGGUGGGGAUGACGUCAAGUCAUCAUGCCCCUUAUGUCCAGGGCUUCACGCAUGCUACAAUGGCUGGUACAGAGAGUGGCGAGCCUGUGAGGGUGAGCGAAUCUCGGAAAGCCGGUCUCAGUUCGGAUUGGGGUCUGCAACUCGACCUCAUGAAGUCGGAGUCGCUAGUAAUCGCAGAUCAGCAACGCUGCGGUGAAUACGUUCCCGGGGCUUGUACACACCGCCCGUCAAGUCAUGAAAGUUGGUAACACCCGAAGCCGGUGGCCUAACCGUUGUGGGGGAGCCGUCGAAGGUGGGACUGGUGAUUAGGACUAA
rnacentral:rRNA from 1 species